UACGAAGGGUGCAAGCGUUACUCGGAAUUACUGGGCGUAAAGCGUGAGUAGGUGGUUUCUUAAGUCUGCUGUGAAAGCCCCGGGCUCAACCUGGGAAUUGCAGUGGAUACUGGGAAGCUAGAGUGCGGUAGAGGGUAGUGGAAUUCCCGGUGUAGCGGUGAAAUGCGUAGAGAUCGGGAGGAACACCAGUGGCGAAGGCAGAUCUCUGGGCCGUAACUGACGCUGAGGAGCGAAAGCAUGGGGAGCGAACAGG
rnacentral:rRNA from 1 species